UACGAAGGGGGCUAGCGUUGCUCGGAAUCACUGGGCGUAAAGCGCACGUAGGCGGAUUGCUAAGUCAGGGGUGAAAUCCUGGAGCUCAACUCCAGAACUGCCUUUGAUACUGGCGACCUUGAGUCCGGGAGAGGUGAGUGGAACUGCGAGUGUAGCGGUGAAAUGCGUAGAUAUCGUAAGGAAGACCAGUGGCGAAGGCGGGUCUCUGGACAGUUCCUGACGCUGAGGCACGAAGGUCAGGGGAGCAAACGGG
rnacentral:rRNA from 1 species